CAGGGCUCUGCCUGCCACAAUUCAUGAGCUGGCCAGAGGUCUUUGGAUUCCUCCCAGUCAUUGCUGAGAUGAGUGAGGAUUGUUUCAGAAAAUCAGGCCUCCUCCUGGGGAAUGUGCCUCAGCUUCUGCGCUAAGCCUGGCUGAAGAGGCGAAGACCCUUCUCUCCAGCCUGUGCUCAGGAAC
ensembl:lncRNA LINC00598 long intergenic non-protein coding RNA 598